rnacentral:rRNA from 1 species
CAUCUUGGUCAUACCACCCUAAAUGCACCUGAUCUCAUCUGAUCUCGGAAGCUAGGCAGGGUCGGACCUGGUUAGUACUUGGAUGGGAGAAUCUUAGAAACUAAGAAAA